rnacentral:tmRNA from 1 species
AGAUCCAGAGGCUUUACAAACACUGUCUCCACUGCAGCUGCCCCAAUUGCCAAAAUAACUGCAAACCAGGCCAGACACGCUCCAAAGCAUUUACUAUUCAAAAACAGCCUAUUUGGAGUCAUAACUAGCAAACACCUAUGUAUAGAAAUUAUCAUCAAUAUAAAUACAAUACAAAAGUCCAAGGUGCUUACAUAAAGGGUGAAUAAUACACACAAUAGCAUAGAUCCUGGCAUGGUGUACAGGAGGUGAGAUAUUUCUAGCACAUGAGCCAAAGAGGCCAACAUGCACACAAAACAAAAUACUAGCAUCAAAACAUCUGCCCCCUUACAUGCCGCCCUAUAUGCACAAAACACACACACUACCGUCAGAUUUCCAAGCACAGACAGAACAAACAUAAACAGAGCCAGUGCAAACAGUACCCCAUACUUGAGGGACACCGUACAGGGGCUCGCCAAAUCUGGAAUCCAGGUAGCAUUGUCAUAAUAAUCGUCAUAGGACAAUGAUGAGUUUUCUAAGAAUGCCUGAAGAUCUUCCAGGUCCAGGUCCCGCAGGACAAGCAUCGUGGCUCCGGUGUGGGGACACUCACUCAGUCUGUCUUUCUUGCAGAGUCAGAAGUAGAGAAACAGGAAGAAGGUCCCCUUUAAGGAGAACUGUGACACACCUGCCUACAGAAUUUAAAGCAUAAACACUUGACCCACACCCUUCCUGUGCUAAAAGUUGUGACUGUGUACUUUAUCUCUUUCAGAUAAUGCCCACAUCCCCACCGACUACACGCAACACAACCUCAGGCAAAACCAGAUCAGGGUGCAAACGUAGGUGCUUCAACAAACCAGCAGCCAUGCCUCCUAAAAGACGCCGCGCUCCAAAAAGACCAGCCCCUCCUCCACCACCGGGAUGCCAAGGUGAUGAGGAGUCCAGCCAGGGAACUCAAACGCCAAACCCCCCAUCACCACCAGUGCCCCCUUCAUCACCAACACUUCCCUCAUCCCCCGUCCCUCCUUCAUCACCAGUACAUGAGCCACCAUCUCCUUCCCCCCCACCAGCCCCACCAUCACCAGAUGUUGAUGUUGAAGGUUUAGAUGUAGGAGAGACAGACGAUCCCGGUCCCCCUCCACCAAAAAGAUACUCCAGGUAUCAAAAACCGCAUAAUCCAUCUGAUCCAUUGCCUAAAAAAUAUCAGGGAAUGCGAAGACACCUGCAGGUGACAGCACCCAGGUUAUUUGAUCCCGAGGGUCACCCCCCAACACAUUUUAAGUCAGCUGUUAUGUUUAGUAGCACACAUCCCUACACUUUGAAUAAACUUCACAAGUGUAUCCAAAGCAAACAUGUACUCUCAACACCAGUUAGCUGUUUACCCUUGGUACCAGGCACAACACAACAGUGUGUAACAUACUAUUUACUUUCAUUUGUUGAAGACAAGAAACAGGCCAAAAAACUAAAAAGGGUUGUCUUGGCCUACUGUGAAAAAUACCACAGCAGCGUAGAAGGUACUAUAGUCAAGGCAAAGCCUUAUUUUCCCUUACCAGAGCCCCCUACAGAGCCCCCUACAGACCCCGAGCAGCCAUCCACAAGUACACAAGCUUCUGGCACACAACAUGGUCCCACAGCAUCUCUGGAUGCCGGUGCAGAGCAAGGUGCCACAGGAUCACCUGGAUCUAGUCCAGGACAACAGGGACAAGGGUCUCAGACAAAGGGUGGGCGCGCCGACCCAGCUUUCUUGUACAAAGUGGUUGAUGCUGUUAUGGACCCAGAAACGCUGGUGAAAGUAAAAGAUGCUGAAGAUCAGUUGGGUGCACGAGUGGGUUACAUCGAACUGGAUCUCAACAGCGGUAAGAUCCUUGAGAGUUUUCGCCCCGAAGAACGUUUUCCAAUGAUGAGCACUUUUAAAGUUCUGCUAUGUGGCGCGGUAUUAUCCCGUAUUGACGCCGGGCAAGAGCAACUCGGUCGCCGCAUACACUAUUCUCAGAAUGACUUGGUUGAGUACUCACCAGUCACAGAAAAGCAUCUUACGGAUGGCAUGACAGUAAGAGAAUUAUGCAGUGCUGCCAUAACCAUGAGUGAUAACACUGCGGCCAACUUACUUCUGACAACGAUCGGAGGACCGAAGGAGCUAACCGCUUUUUUGCACAACAUGGGGGAUCAUGUAACUCGCCUUGAUCGUUGGGAACCGGAGCUGAAUGAAGCCAUACCAAACGACGAGCGUGACACCACGAUGCCUGUAGCAAUGGCAACAACGUUGCGCAAACUAUUAACUGGCGAACUACUUACUCUAGCUUCCCGGCAACAAUUAAUAGACUGGAUGGAGGCGGAUAAAGUUGCAGGACCACUUCUGCGCUCGGCCCUUCCGGCUGGCUGGUUUAUUGCUGAUAAAUCUGGAGCCGGUGAGCGUGGGUCUCGCGGUAUCAUUGCAGCACUGGGGCCAGAUGGUAAGCCCUCCCGUAUCGUAGUUAUCUACACGACGGGGAGUCAGGCAACUAUGGAUGAACGAAAUAGACAGAUCGCUGAGAUAGGUGCCUCACUGAUUAAGCAUUGGUAACCGGUUAGUAAUGAGUUUAAACGGGGGAGGCUAACUGAAACACGGAAGGAGACAAUACCGGAAGGAACCCGCGCUAUGACGGCAAUAAAAAGACAGAAUAAAA